UGCCUUAGGAAUAUUAUUUUGGAAGCUGUGUGGAGAAUAAAUCGGACAGGGGAGAGGCUGGAGACAGACCAAUUAAAAGUCUAUUGCAAAGGUCCAGGCACAAGUCCUUUUUCAGUAGUGUCUGACUCUUCAUGACCCCAUCUGGACUUUUCUUGGCAAAGAAAGGACGUAGACAGCCACUGAAUGAGACAGAAGAAAUGUCUAGAGAAGUGGGAAUAUAAUCUGUAAAGUACCUCUUAGGAGCCAAAGGAGGAAUUAAUAUCCAGAAAGUGCCUCUCACAGUACUUACAUGGAGAAGGUGUUUAAUAAAUGCUUGUCGAUUGGCUGAUUGAUGUAACAUACUGGUUGCCACAGUUUCCACCAAAAUCUAAAGGAAAAGAACAACAGCAGCUGCUACCAACAUGAAAAUCAUAUUGGAAAGAUCUUCACAGAUGACUGAACAGCAAUUCUGAGAUGGCCACAGCUAGGCUUGAAGGCAACUUUAUGACCAUGAGAGGUUACAGUUCCCUCAGUCUGAAUGGCAGCAGGAAGAACGUCCCGCAACUCCUGAAGAAAUAUCAACCGGCAGUAAGAUGUACCCAGCUUCUGCCCUGGCUUGUUAGAAGAUGUGGAUCUGGAAAGAAUUGCUUAGACAGUACAGAAUCAAGAGGAGACUUGAGGCGGAGCCAAGAUGGCGGAAUACCAAGAAGAAGUACGGUUGAGCUCUGUCCCACAGCUCCUCCACAGAGGAAAAUCCAAGGAAAAAAAAAACACAGCAAGUCAUGUUUCCAGCCCAAGUGAGCAUGGCAUGACAGACAGAGAAGGCUUUGGAUAUUGGGAACAGAGGUUAGCCAAGAACAGCCACAAGAGCGUUCUAGUACUGGGACUCAAAGAGGUCUGAAACUCUCAACCACUUCAAGAAGGUCCCAGAUCCAGAAGAGAAGGGACUGACCUUGCGUAGGAUGCAGAGACAGGUGCCAACUAGCAGCCAACUAGGUAGCUGCUCACUACCCACUUCUAAAUCACAAACCUUGAAUAGACUAUGGAGGGGACCUAAAUGUAAGAGCAUUGCAGAGUAAGGAAUAUGUGUGGACCCUAAGCUGUAUACUGAGCAAGCAACAGUUGUCUAGCUCUAACCUGGGAAUGAUGAAGGGCCUUAGUCCCAGUCUGCAGCCUAGUCCAACACCAAGGGAAUAACCAAGGUAGGAAUCCCAGAUCAAAGGGUAACCUAUAGUUCUGUCACUGUGAACAAGCAAGCUAUCCAGCUAACAGUGGUUUAGUCCAGAAGCAAUCUACUGGAACUCUAACCAAGAGCAAGACCACAGGGGUGUUACUUAGACCCAAACCCAGGUCCAGGACUUUCAUAGUUCAGACCAAGAGCACAUUGAUCAUACUUUGCUCUGGACUGGACCAUUCCAGGAACACUGAAAGCUUGCAGGUUCCCAUAUUGAGCUGUUGCUGAGAUCCUGGAAUGACAUAACACUCAACACCCCAAGAAAGCAGCAAUAGGAAGAACCCAAGAGGAUACAAGCUUGGCCCAGACAUUCUCUCCAGAAGCCCAUAGAGCCUUUCCCUAACAUAAAGUCCAAAGUCAGAAAGAAGUUGGAAGAAUGAACAACAAAAAAGAAUCCCGUGAUAAAGAGCAAUUAUAUUGUCAGAGACACUCAAAGCACAAACUCAGAAGAAAAUGACUCCAAAGCCUCAAAGAAAAAUAGAGGUUGGUCACAAGGGGAAAAAAAUCACUUUAAGCUUAGCUUUGCUUGGGUGAAGUGUCUCCCCAAAGUAGAAAACAGAAAGAUAUAUAAGAAGCAGAAAGGAGGAAACCACACUCAAGACUUUACUAAACUAUAGGAGCACUAUUUUAAAGGGAAAGAAAAUUUGGAACAUAAUAGUUCAAAAGGCGAAAGAAAAAGACUUAUAACCAAGAAUAGCAUCCUGGAAAAUUAAGUAUAAUCCUACAAGGGGAAAUGAGAAAGUAUAACAUUCUUUGCAAAACUUAAAGUUCUGUGUAAAUUCUAAUUGUUAUUAUUAUUUAAUGGAUAUUUCGUAGAAUAGAUGACUUGGAAGUAUUUUGAUGAAAAGGCUUAAGCUGAACUGAAUUAUUGAAAUUUAGACACAGGAGAAAAGAGAAACCUAAAAGGAGGUAAAUGCAAUCAAUUGAUCAAGCACUUAUAUUUCAAUAGGAGCAAAAGAGAUCUUUCAGAAUUCUGCUAUCUUCCAGGGAUAUGGAGGGAAUAAUGAAAGACAAGACUGGAGGCAAUUAAUCAAUAAAUGAGCAGAGAAAACGAUGCAUUAAGGAGUUUUCCUGUAAUGGUGCUGCAAUAUUUGGACAAGCCCCUAAACAUUUUUAAAGGAAAAUAGUCCUUUUGGCCACUGGAUGAAAGGCAGAUGACACCACCAGGAAUGUCUUGUUACUGGUUAAGAAAAUGAAGUCAUACUUCUUGUACAGAAAGAGCAGUUUUUCCAGUAAUGAGCUCAGUUCAUCAGGAGGCCAGCCAAGUGGUGGAGGGCUACGGGCACAGGUGCAACUUGGUGAGGCAGCCCUUACACCUGUACCAGAAGGUAGGAAGGAGGGAGGAGAGUGAGACCAAAUAGUGGGUUACACUCCUCCAGUCCAUCCAUCUAUUCACCAUGUCACCAGAGAGAAAGGAUCAGUAGUAGACAAGGUAUCUUAGGAGGAAAUAGCUCCAAGGAAUAUAUGACACCUUAUGCCAGAGAAAAGUGCUGCUUAAAAACCCAAGAAAUGUUUUCUGGUAACCAGGAGCAGCGAAUUUACCAUUUGGCCUAAUGUGUUGUAGAGGGCCGGCUUUGGGGAGCUGGAGGGCUUAGGCCAGCCCGGGUCUUACCUGUAGUUUGUAUUAAGCCUCACGCUGUGAAAGUCAGGAUGUUGGCUCACACCCCCCCCUUCCCCCCCCCCCCGCCCAUUCCAUCUCU